rnacentral:rRNA from 1 species
GACGAACGCUGGCGGCGUGCCUAAUACAUGCAAGUAGAACGCUGAAGGGGGAGCUUGCUUCUCCGGAUGAGUUGCGAACGGGUGAGUAACGCGUAGGUAACCUGCCUGGUAGCGGGGGAUAACUAUUGGAAACGAUAGCUAAUGCCGCAUAAUAGUAGAUGUUGCAUGACAUUUGCUUAAAAGGUGCAAUUGCACCACUACCAGAUGGACCUGCGUUGUAUUAGCUAGUUGGUGGGGUAACGGCUCACCAAGGCGACGAUACAUAGCCGACCUGAGAGGGUGAUCGGCCACAAUGGGACUGAGACGCGGCCCAGACUCCUACGGGAGGCAGCAGUAGGGAAUCUUCGGCAAUGGACGGAAGUCUGACCGAGCAACGCCGCGUGAGUGCAGAAGGUUGUCGGAUCGUAAAGAUCUGUUGUAAGAGAAGAACGAGUGUGAGAGUGGAAAGUUCACAAUGUGACGUUAUCUUACCAGAAAGGGACGGCUAACUACGUG